rnacentral:lncRNA from 1 species
AUGGUGCUCCAAGAAGACCGUGCGGCUGGUGCUGACGCCGUCGCGGAACGAGGUGGUGAGCACGAAGCCAGCCACGUCAUGGAUGAGCGAGGUGAAGCCAAGGAGCGUGAGGUUGCUCGCCCACGAGAUGCGGUGCACAACCCAUUUCGAUGCCGCAUGGAGCUCGGGCGGAGGCUUCCCAAGACGAUGAUGCCUCCCCCUCCUUCCUUCCUGGACUUCGACUGGGAUGAGGCAGCAAAGGACGAGGGCGUAGGUAGUGGAGGCGGCGACCCGGCGGGUGGGAGGCCUCUCCAUCCGUUGGUGGAAGAGGCAGCGACACAAUGGGUGGGCUCCGACGGAUCAAAGAGUGUGCAGGGAAUUAAAGAGAGAGAGGAGGAGAAGGUGUGGGCCCCACGGAUGGCAAGCGGGCUUUGGCUAGCAAAGUUUGUGAGUAAGGGAGUCAGUUUGGCCAACUAGAUGGCUUGGC